GCGGUGGAUGAUGUGGUUUAAUUCGAUGCAACGACGAAAACCUUACCCACCUUGACAUGGCAGGAAUCCUAAGAGAUUUGGGAGUGCUCGAAAGAGAACCUGCACACAGGUGCUGCAUGGCUGUCGUCAGCUCGUGUCGUGAGAUGUUGGGUUAAGUCCCGCAACGAGCGCAACCCUUGCCAUUAGUUGCUACGAAAGGGCACUCUAAUGGGACUGCCGGUGACAAACCGGAGGAAGGUGGGGAUGACGUCAAGUCCUCAUGGCCCUUAUAGGUGGGGCUACACACGUCAUACAAUGGCCGGUACAGAGGGUAGCCAACCCGCGAGGGGGAGCCAAUCCCACAAAGCCGGUCGUAGUCCGGAUCGCAGUCUGCAACUCGACUGCGUGAAGUCGGAAUCGCUAGUAAUCGCGGAUCAGCAUGUCGCGGUGAAUACGUUCCCGGGUCUU
rnacentral:rRNA from 1 species